GACGAACGCUGGCGGCGUGCCUAAUACAUGCAAGUAGAACGCUGAAGAGAGGAGCUUGCUCUUCUUGGAUGAGUUGCGAACGGGUGAGUAACGCGUAGGUAACCUGCCUGGUAGCGGGGGAUAACUAUUGGAAACGAUAGCUAAUACCGCAUAAAAUUGAUUAUUGCAUGAUAAUUAAUUGAAAGAUGCAAUUGCAUCACUACCAGAUGGACCUGCGUUGUAUUAGCUAGUUGGUGAGGUAACGGCUCACCAAGGCGACGAUACAUAGCCGACCUGAGAGGGUGAUCGGCCACACUGGGACUGAGACACGGCCCAGACUCCUACGGGAGGCAGCAGUAGGGAAUCUUCGGCAAUGGGGGGAACCCUGACCGAGCAACGCCGCGUGAGUGAAGAAGGUUUUCGGAUCGUAAAGCUCUGUUGUAAGAGAAGAACGGGUGUGAGAGUGGAAAGUUCACACUG
rnacentral:rRNA from 1 species